UUGAGUCACAGGAGAAUGAGGAAACCUCUGCUUUAUAAAAGAACUCAGUUGAAUAGCAUUACAAGAAGCAGGUAUUACUUUUGUAACUUAAAAAAUAUGAUGAAACCUAAAAAAAAAAAAAAAAAGGAAAAAAAGAACUGGCGAAGAAUGGAAUGAGAGGAAUGUUUGGGAUCGAGUUGACAGGGCUGGACGAAAGUGGCCGGGAGUGGAGAGAACAGCCUUUAAAGACUCCAGGAUGGAAAAGACUGAGGCGGCCUCCACAUGGAGCAUCUUCUCAGCCGUCUGCGAGACGGCCCCGGGGUUUUAUUAACCUCCUUCCCUCAGGAGCAAACACCGAGGUGUGUGUCUUUGAAGAGUGAUGGCUCAGAAGCGACAUGACUUUCAAACACGAUUUGUUUUAUAUUCUAUUUGUGAAUUAGGGUGUGUUUACUGUGAAAGAAUGAUUUAGGAGAUGAUGAGUCUGCCGGAAAUAUACCGGGAUAAUUGAAUCUCCGAGUCUAUUAAAGCCUAUUGUCUUACA